rnacentral:rRNA from 1 species
ACGGGAGGCAGCAGUGGGGGAUAUUGCACAAUGGAGGAAACUCUGAUGCAGCAACGCCGCGUGAGGGAAGAAGGAUUUCGGUUUGUAAACCUCUGUCUUCGGUGACGAUAAUGACGGUAGCCGAGGAGGAAGCUCCGGCUAACUACGUGCCAGCAGCCGCGGUAAUACGUAGGGAGCAAGCGUUGUCCGGAAUUACUGGGUGUAAAGGGUGCGUAGGCGGGAUUGCAAGUCAGGUGUGAAAACGGUCGGCUUAACCGAUCGCCUGCAUUUGAAACUGUGAUUCUUGAGUGAAGUAGAGGUAGGCGGAAUUCCCGGUGUAGCGGUGAAAUGCGUAGAGAUCGGGAGGAACACCAGUGGCGAAGGCGGCCUACUGGGCUUUAACUGACGCUGAGGCACGAAAGCAUGGGUAGCAAACAGGAUUAGAUACCCUGGUA